rnacentral:rRNA from 1 species
CCCUUAGAUGUUCUGGGCUGCACACGUGCUACACUGGCAGGUUCAGCGAGCUUCAUGCCCUGAUCUGAAAGGAAUGGGAAAUCUUUUCAAAACCUGCCGUGCUUGGGAUAGAUGUUUGCAAUUAUUCAUCUUCAACGAGGAUUGCCUUGUAAGCGCACGUCAUCAGCGUGCAUUGAAUACGACCCUGUAUUCUGUACACACCGCCCGUCGCUCCUACCGAUUGAAGUUUUCGGUGAGUUGACAGGAGGAUUUUUUUGAAACAGGUUCGCCAGUGGAUUUUAGAUCCAAAUGCCAACGAAUCGAUGGCUUUAGAGGAAGGAGAAGUCGUAACA